AUUGAACGCUGGCGGCAGGCCUAACACAUGCAAGUCGAGCGGAUGAAGGGAGCUUGCUCCUGGAUUCAGCGGCGGACGGGUGAGUAAUGCCUAGGAAUCUGCCUGGUAGUGGGGGAUAACGUCCGGAAACGGGCGCUAAUACCGCAUACGUCCUGAGGGAGAAAGUGGGGGAUCUUCGGACCUCACGCUAUCAGAUAAGCCUAGGUCGGAUUAGCUAGUUGGUGGGGUAAAGGCCUACCAAGGCGACGAUCCGUAACUAGUCUGAGAGGAUGAUCAGUCACACUGGAACUGAGACACGGUCCAGACUCCUACGGGAGGCAGCAGUGGGGAAUAUUGGACAAUGGGCGAAAGCCUGAUCCAGCCAUGCCGCGUGUGUGAAGAAGGUCUUCGGAUUGUAAAGCACUUUAAGUUGGGAGGAAGGGCAGUAAGUUAAUACCUUGCUGUUUUGACGUUACCAACAGAAUAAGCACCGGCUAACUUCGUG
rnacentral:rRNA from 1 species